rnacentral:lncRNA from 1 species
CGAAUGAUAGAUGGGGUUGGGAUGAGAGACCGGUUGGAGAUGGUCUUUUUGCCUUUGAAUUCUCAAAUGAAGAGUAGGGGGUGAGAUGAGAGUCCGAUUGGAGAUGCUCCCUCACUCGCUCGAUACGGGUGCCAUCUUAGGAUAGGAUGCCACACAGUUCACUUUACACGUAGUAUUCACGAAUGCAUCAUGAGGAAAAACUGUUCUGCAGUGUCUCCGGUUCAGGCAUGUAUCGAGAUUUUGAA